AGUGAACGCUGGCGGUAGGCCUAACACAUGCAAGUCGAACGGCAGCACAGUAAGAGCUUGCUCUUACGGGUGGCGAGUGGCGGACGGGUGAGGAAUACAUCGGAAUCUACUUUUUCGUGGGGGAUAACGUAGGGGAACUUACGCUAAUACCGCAUACGACCUACGGGUGAAAGCAGGGGAUCUUCGGACCUUGCGCGAUUGAAUGAGCCGAUGUCGGAUUAGCUAGUUGGCGGGGUAAAGGCCCACCAAGGCGACGAUCCGUAGCUGGUCUGAGAGGAUGAUCAGCCACACUGGAACUGAGACACGGUCCAGACUCCUACGGGAGGCAGCAGUGGGGAAUAUUGGACAAUGGGCGAAAGCCUGAUCCAGCCAUACCGCGUGGGUGAAGAAGGCCUUCGGGUUGUAAAGCCCUUUUGUUGGGAAAGAAAAGCAGCAGGUUAAUACCCCGCUGUUCUGACGGUACCCAAAGAAUAAGCACCGGCUAACUUCGUG
rnacentral:rRNA from 1 species